rnacentral:rRNA from 1 species
AGAACGAACGCUGGCGGCGUGGAUAAGACAUGCAAGUCGAACGGGACAGUCUGGUAGCAAUAUUAGACUGUUCAGUGGCGAACGGGUGCGUAACACGUGGGUCACAUUCCGGGAAGUGAGAAAUAGCCCAGGGAAACUUGGAUUAAUACCUCAUGUGGUCGCAAGACUAAAGGCGCAAGCCGCUUCCUGAUUGGCCCGCGGCCUAUCAGCUAGUUGGUGAGGUAAUGGCUCACCAAGGCAACGACGGGUAGCUGGUCUGAGAGGACGACCAGCCACACUGGAACUGAGACACGGUCCAGACACCUACGGGUGGCAGCAGUCGAGAAUCUUUCACAAUGGGCGAAAGCCUGAUGGAGCGACGCCGCGUGGAGGUUAAGGUCUUCGGAUUGUAAACUCCUGUCAUGCGAGAACAAAGCCCGCAAGGGUCUGAUAGUAUACGCAAGAGAAGAGACGGCUAACGUCUGUCGCCAGCAGCCGGACGUAAUCGUA